rnacentral:rRNA from 1 species
UACGUAGGGUGCGAGCGUUAAUCGGAAUUACUGGGCGUAAAGCGUGCGCAGGCGGUUCUCCAAGUCCGUUGUGAAAGCCCUGGGCUCAACCUGGGAAUGGCAUUGGAAACUGGCGACCUAGAGUGCGGUAGAGGGCAGUGGAAUUCCCGGUGUAGCAGUGAAAUGCGUAGAGAUCGGGAGGAACACCGGUGGCGAAGGCGGCCUGCUGGGCAGUGGCUGACAUUGAGGCGCGAACACGGUGGGAGCAAACAGGG